rnacentral:lncRNA from 1 species
CAUACUAAUCUCAUGUUUUAUCCUAAUUCCAACUACAUCAACUGUUUGCAUAUUCCUAUUCAACAUUGUGAGGAACAGCAACAACAACAACAAUACAACAUUUUUUUAAUACAAUUUAAAUCAGAAAUGGACUUGUGACUAAUUUGUCGUCCAGGAAUAAGACACAAGAUGGCAGUGAAGAGAAAAGGCACUAGAUUCUCUAUCAUAUCAAUCAGUAGUUUGGUUCAAAAGGCACAAUUGCUCUUUGUAACUCCAACAAUAAUGAGGCUUCCCUGAUUAAAGUGUUGCACCUGCAAUGUUAAAUUGUUUCUCAAAGGUUGAUAAGGCUAAUAUCAAAUUCUUGGGGCUAAAUUGUCAGCCUACUUGUAUGAUUACUUCCAAAUGGAACAAAUUAACACAAUAAUAACUACAUUAACAUAACCCAAGGACGAAAAUAACCACGAGAUGACAGAAUAAAAUAGAGGUACCAUUUUAUGAUAAUGCUAAUAAAAUAUAGUUUCCAGUGUUUUAUCAGUAGAUGGGAGGCACAGUGAUGAAGACGUAUGUCCCUGCACGCAUAGAAAGAAAUCAAGCCUUCAAUCACGUUAAGAGAGAGAGAGAGAGAGAGAGAGAGAGAGAGAGAGAGAGGGCAAAGCUCUUUUGCCUAGUUACCACUGGAGAGACUCCAUUACUGUCUGUGAAAAGCUUUCUGCAAUCACUUUUUUUGAGGAAAAGCUUCUGCAAUCAUGUGAAGCCAGUCAUGGUUAAAGCAAAUCAGAUGAUGAUCUGAACUGGCAUAAAACAGAGGUAUCCUGACUCAGACUAAGCACAACUAGUAGAUGCCAGAGCCAGCAAGGACUGCAAGGCCAAGGGAGUAAGAGAUGCAGAUGGAGUAACAUCUUAUGUCAUCAUCAGUAAGGACAUCAU